AGUUCGCGUGGAGCCAACCUUGAAAUACCACCCUGGCAACUUUGAGGUUCUAACUCAGGUCCGUUAUCCGGAUCGAGGACAGUGUAUGGUGGGUAGUUUGACUGGGGCGGUCUCCUCCUAAAGAGUAACGGAGGAGUACGAAGGUGCGCUCAGACCGGUCGGAAAUCGGUCGUAGAGUAUAAAGGCAAAAGCGCGCUUGACUGCGAGACAGACACGUCGAGCAGGUACGAAAGUAGGUCUUAGUGAUCCGGUGGUUCUGUAUGGAAGGGCCAUCGCUCAACGGAUAAAAGGUACUCCGGGGAUAACAGGCUGAUACCGCCCAAGAGUUCAUAUCGACGGCGGUGUUUGGCACCUCGAUGUCGGCUCAUCACAUCCUGGGGCUGAAGCCGGUCCCAAGGGUAUGGCUGUUCGCCAUUUAAAGUGGUACGCGAGCUGGGUUUAGAACGUCGUGAGACAGUUCGGUCCCUAUCUGCCGUGGACGUUUGAGAUUUGAGAGGGGCUGCUCCUAGUACGAGAGGACCGGAGUGGACGAACCUCUGGUGUUCCGGUUGUCACGCCAGUGGCAUUGCCGGGUAGCUAUGUUCGGAAUAGAUAACCGCUGAAAGCAUCUAAGCGGGAAACUAGCCUCAAGAUGAGAUCUCACUGGGACCUUGAGUCCCCUGAAGGGCCGUCGAAGACUACGACGUUGAUAGGUUGGGUGUGUAAGCGCUGUGAGGCGUUGAGCUAACCAAUACUAAUUGCCCGUGAGGCUUGACCAU
rnacentral:ncRNA from 1 species